AUCCUCAGCACUGACGCAUCUAUUGUCUAUUCCUUGGUUAGCUUUCUCCAAUCCCCUAACAAAAAACAGACAUGUUUCCUCUUGUUCUACUCCCUUUCCUAUCAAGAAAACUUCAUCCUUAUUUAGCUAAACUUACUUCCCUAUUUGGCAAGAUAAAAAAUAGAGUGUUACACACAGAACAUACAACAUAGCAUCAGGGUCGUGAUUUCAACUUGACAUCAAGGCCCUUUACAAGCUAUACUAUGUACAGACGAGUUUAAGAAGUAGAGUGUUGAAAAAUAAGACAGUAAUGGACCAGAUUGUGGAAAGACCAGUUUUUCAGCUACAGAGUCAAUAGCCUUGAAAAAAUAAUACAGCAGGAGAUUGGCAAGAUCAACAUCAAUUUUAAGGAAACUAUAAAGAAAGCAAUAAAACAAAAAAAAUGUGAAAGUGUAAAGGAGGAACAAUUGAACUUGAGUGAUAGUUAAGUAUGUGAUGAAGCUGGGAAUUAAAGAUGUGAUUCUGAAGUUGGAAGCCUGGGUGAUAGAAAGAAAUGACAGAAAUGGGGAAAUGAAAAGAAGUGGCUGGAUUUUCUAGGGGGAAGGUGGAUACUAUUACAUUUGGGAUUAAGUUUUAAAACAAAAAGAAAAAAUAGGGGGACAUUGGGGAAGGGAAGAGGACUAAGUUAGGUUUUACUUGUCUGAGAUAACAUGGUAUUUACAGAGCAAGGCCGGCCAGAGACAGAGAUUUCGAAUCUUCUGCCAAGGAGUCUCAGUCGCCAUUAAAAGGAAUAUUGGGAAAGAUAAGGACCCUGGAGACCAGAGAAGAACCUGCAAAGGCCGUGUUCACACACUCACAAAAGAUGGCUGUGACUUGGAUCCAGACGUGGUGUACUCACAACAGAACUCCUGUGAUUCCAUCCUUUGGGAGGCAGAAAUGAAGUAAAGAUGAAGUUCAGCUUAAAGAAGACAGGAAUACAAACCAUUCCACGUGGAUAAACAGAAAAUGGUGUAUCCACACAAUAGAAUUUGACUCAGCAAUACAAAGGAACCAAACUGUGAAAAGCAACGUCCAACAGGAAGGAAUCUCAAAAUGAUGGCGAGUGAAAAAGACCAGACUGAAAAAAAGAGACUGGAAAAUGUUAACUACCCAAUAGUGAAGAAAAGCAGGU
rnacentral:lncRNA from 1 species